AGCAGCCGCGGUAAUUCCAGCUCCAAUAGCGUAUAUUAAAGUUGCUGCAGUUAAAAAGCUCGUAGUUGAAUUUCGGGACCAUCAUGUCGGUCGUGCCUCGGUACGUACUGGCAUUGUUGGUUUCUCCCUUCUGACGAACCAUGAUGUCAUUUAUUUGGUGUUGUGGGAAAUCAGGACUGUUACUUUGAAAAAAUUAGAGUGUUUAAAGCAGGCUCACGCUUGAAUACAUUAGCAUGGAAUAAUGAAAUAGGACGUUUGAUCCUAUUUUGUUGGUUUCUAGGAUUGACGUAAUGAUUAAUAGGGAUAGUUGGGGGCAUUAGUAUUCAAUUGUCAGAGGUGAAAUUCUUGGAUUUAUUGAAGACUAACUACUGCGAAAGCAUUUGCCAAGGAUGUUUUCAUUAAUCAAGAACGAAAGUUAGGGGAUCGAAGACGAUCAGAUACCGUCGUAGUCUUAACCAUAAACUAUGCCGACUAGGGAUCGGAUGAUGUUAAUUUUUAAUGACUCAUUC
rnacentral:rRNA from 1 species